CCCAGCGUAGCUCAACCGGCAGAGCGCCGCGCUUACACCGCGGAGGUUGCGGGAUCGUUGCCCGCCGCUGGAA
rnacentral:tRNA from 1 species